AGCAGUUUGCACAGGGGUAAGGUUUGCUGUCCCCAGAGGGCUCACAGUCCACGCAGAAAAAGGGAGACCCCAGCAAGAGCCGCUGGAGGGAUGCCGUGGUGGGGCUGGACAGGGCCAGAUGCUCUCCCCCUGCUUAACCUAAAGGGCAUCACCGCUUUGCUGGGUGCCCCGUUGCUCAGUCCACAGGGGGACCUUGCCUCUCCAAGCAGACUGGGCUAAUCAUUACUUGAUUUUUAUUUGAACAUCUGCGCCCUGCCUUUCUCCACAGGCCCCAAAGUGGCCAACCAAAACUAAAAUCCCAUAGAAAGCAAAAAGGUCAUUUCCCAAAGCGCCAUGAAAUGGGGCACACCCCACAUGCUGUGGGGGCAGAGCAGGCACUGGAAAACUACCACUAGAAGACAAACAACCCUGUUCAAAGCAGCCAUUGAGCAGCAACUGUUACCCAGCAACCAUCAAUGAUAGAACCCUGGCCCUGUUUGAGCAGGAAUAACUGUCCUUCUGGCCUUCCUCUUCCCUGGGAGUUACCAACCUCUCCUCCUGUGCCUUUCAAAGCAACCCAAGAAAAGUGUCAGGAGAUAAGGAUCAGAUGAGGAUCUGGGGCCCAAUUCUCAUUCAGCCUGAAGCUCCCUGGGGGGAAUUGGGGCCAAUCUCUUGCUAUCUACUGGCUUUUGGCCAAAGGCAUUCAAGACUCUACAGAAAUGGAUUGCGAGAACGCCUGACCUGAGAAAUUGACACAAGAUUGAGCGGAGGGGAAUGCACUGUUUAAUGAGAAGAAGGCAAAUCACCAAAGAGGGCGGGAUUCCUGCGAUGAGGUUGGGAGGUCGGGAGAAGCUAAGAAGAAGGAGAGAAGAGACUCUACAGUGGGAGAACCACUUUGGGAAGAGCAGGAUCAGCCCCUUUAUCAUUUCGGUUUCCCUCUUCUGCUGCACCUUCUUCAGUUCGACAGUAUCGCUUUUUUGGUAAUCUGGCGACCGGAACGAUACACUUUACUUCUGAGGAACAGCUACAACUGAAAACAAGGUCAGCUUCAUGUUGUUGUUGUUGUUGUUGUUGUUGUUGUUGUUAUAGCCCAGUAAGCUUCCAGACCACCUUGGGUUUAUUCUCUCUUUUUGACAGUUAAAGCACCACAUUUUCAUUGAUGCCAGGAGAUGUUGAACAGUAGGGCACACAUCCUGGGGUGCCUCUGUUAUGGCACAAGAGAUAUUCCCAGACUGAUUGGGCAAGGUUCGGACCACAGUGUGUGUCUGGACAUUUAAAUUUGCAUUCUGAUUGGGCAAGACCUCUAGGGUUUUUAAAUUCUGUCUUGAUCGAAUUGGGCAAGAUCUCUAGGAUUUUUAAAUUGUAUAUGGAAUUGGGCAAGAUCAAGGCCUGUGUGGGCCUCGAUUUUUAAAUUGCAUCCCCCAGCUUGACCUUUACAAUUGUAUUCUGAUUGGGCAAGACCUCUAGGGUUUUUAAAUUCUGUAUGGAAUUGGGCAAGAUCAGGGCCUGUGUGGGCCUCGAUUUUUAAAUUGCACCCCCCAGCUUGACCUUUACAUUUGUAUUCUGAUUGGGCAAGACCUCUAGGGUUUUUAAAUUCUGUAUGGAAUUGGGCAAGAUCAGGGCCUGUGUGGGCCUCGAUUUUUAAAUUGCAUCCCCCAGCUUGACUGAGCACACAAUCUCUAGGUUCCCUUAGAGUGAAUUGGGCAUGAUACCAUUUUUUUAAAAUUCCAUGUUUGGGCAGCUUUAAGCCAGUGGACUGGAGUCCCAUGAGCUUGGAAUCUCCAAUGGCUCAACUGGGCAAGACAAUUGGUUUCUUUAAAUUCUGUCAGGGCCUUGUGGACAUAUUUUUCAGCCAGGGGUGUAGUGUUAAAUUUGGAUCGACUGACCACCCACUUUUAUUCAUGCUCAUGAUAAAGUCUGAAUCAAAUGGAUCACGUUGCCUGUUUUAUAUGCGCUGUUUCCCAAGUCUUGAGUGACCCAUGAAGAGAUGAGUUCUUGUUUAGUGCGCUCAUGGCCAUCUCGGAUCCUUAUUCCUUACUCAAGGAAAGCAUUGAUUUUGAAUGCUGGGCUCAAGGUUUUGAUGCUUUUCUGUUUAUUGAUAAAAUGGAAGGGAUCAUUUCACAUGCAAAUGUUUAAAUUGGUUGUGUCAUGCAAGGGUUUUGAGAACUGUCUGGACUAAAGAAAUAGUUUGAUUGCCUUGUCAGCAAGAGAGUUGCCUGCAGCGUAGGCGGCAACCAUGCUAUCUUGCACAGACACAAAAAGCCUUUUGGAAGGUUGUGUCUUUGUUGAAGAUGAUGUUUAGCAUUUUAGCAUUCAAGACUCUUCAGACACGGAUUGCGAGAACGCCUGGCCUGAGAAAUUGACACCAGAGUGAAUGGAGGCGAAUGCACCUGCUAAAGUUGAGGAAGGCAGAUCACCAAAGGCGGCAGGAGUCCUUUGGUGAGGAUGCGAGGUCGGGAGAAGCUAAGAAGAAGGAGAGAAGAGACUCUACAGUGGGAGAACCACUUUGGGAAGAGCAGGAUCAGCCCCUUUAUCAUUUCGGUUUCCCUCUUCUGCUGCACCUUCUUCAGUUCGACAGUAUCGCUUUUUUGGUAAUCUGGCGACCGGAACGAUACACUUUACUUCUGAGGAACAGCUACAACUGGAAACAAGGUCAGCUUCAUGUUGUUGUUGUUGUUGUUGUUGUUAUAGCCCAGUAAGCUUCCAGACCACCUUUGGUUUAUACUUUCUUUUUGACAGUUAAAGCACCACAUUUUCAUUGAUGCCAGGAGAUGUUGAACAGUAGGGCACACAUCUUGGGGUGCCUCUGUUAUGGCACAAGAGAUAUUCCCAGACUGAUUGGGCAAGGUUCGGACCACAAUGUGUGUCUGGACAUUUAAAUUUGCAUUCUGAUUGGGCAAGACCUCUAGGGUUUUUAAAUUCUGUCUUGAUCGAAUUGGGCAAGAUCUCUAGGAUUUUUAAAUUGGAUAUGGAAUUGGGCAAGAUCAGGGCCUGUGUGGGCCUCGAUUUUUAAAUUGCAUCCCCCAGCUUGACCUUUACAAUUGUAUUCUGAUUGGGCAAGACCUCUAGGGUUUUUAAAUUCUGUAUGGAUUGGGCAAGAUCAGGGCCUGUGUGGGCCUCGAUUUUUAAAUUGCAUCCCCCAGCUUGACCUUUACAAUUGUAUUCUGAUUGGGCAAGACCUCUAGGGUUUUUAAAUUCUGUAUGGAAUUGGGCAAGAUCAGGGCCUGUGAGGGCCUCGAUUUUUAAAUUGCAUCCCCCAGCUUGACUGAGCACACAAUCUCUAGGUUCCCUUAGAGUGAAUUGGGCAUGAUACCAUUUUUUUAAAAUUCCAUGUUUGGGCAGCUUUAAGCCAGUGGACUGGAGUCCCAUGAGCUUGGAAUCUCCAAUGGCUCAACUGGGCAAGACAAUUGGUGUCUUUAAAUUCUGUCAGGGACUUGUGGACAUAUUUUUCAGCCAGGGGUAUAGUGUUAAAUUUGGAUCGAAUGACCAACCACUUUUAUUCAUGCUCAUGAUAAAGUCUGAAUCAAAUGGAUCACGUUGCGUGUUUUCUAUGCACGGUGUCCCAAGUCUUGAGUGACCCAUGAAGAGAUGAGUUCUUCUUUAGUGCGCUCAUGGCCAUCUCGGAUCCUUAUUCCUUACUCAAGGAAAGCAUUGAUUUUGAAUGCUGGGCUCAAGGUUUUGAUGCUUUUCUGUCUAUUGAUAAAAUGGAAGGAAUCAUUUCACAUGCAAAUGUUUAAAUUGGUUGUGUCAUGCAAGGGUUUUGAGAACUGUCUGGACUAAAGAAAUAGUUUGAUUGCCUUGUCAGCAAGAGAGGUGCCUGCAGCCUAGGCGGCAACCAUGCUAUCUUGCACAGACACAAAAAGCCUUUUGGAAGGUUGUGUCUUUGUUGAAGAUGAUGUUUAGCAUUUUAGCAUUCAAGACUCUUCAGACACGGAUUGCGAGAACGCCUGGCCUGAGAAAUUGACACCCGAGUGAAUGGAGGCGAAUGCACCUGCUUAAGUUGAGGAAGGCAGAUCACCAAAGGCGGCAGGAGUCCUUUGGUGAGGAUGGGGUGAGUAACUGGGCCUGACUGGUUGGAUGAUGCCCCAUCUGUACUGGGCCUUUUCCAAACCAGAUGCUAAUUUUUUUUUCCUUUAAGUUCGGCACUGACAUUUUUAUUGACUUUCUGAAGGGGUAUUGCGACAGCAACCUGGGGAACUCUGGAAAUGGGCCCAGAAUUAUGUAAGGAUGACCAGAAACUGUAUAUUUAUUAAAAUUGACUUGGACCUUUCUUUUUAAAUAUAUAUAUAUUUUAAAAUAACCUGGAAAUUGUACUGUCAGAGUGAAUGCAGAAGAAAAGUGACGUAACAUCAGAGAAUCGCUGGGGAAGUGAUGUGAAACUGAGGUAAUCUUCUGCCUUCUUUUUCAAAUGGUAAGUGAAAUAAAGGCAAAAAGUAAGAAAUAUCUUACAUAAAAGAUGCAUGGGUGAGCAGGCGUUUGGGCAAAUGGACCCAUCCCCCCACCAGCCCCCCAGCCCCAAUCAGUGACAAAAUGUGGAGCCCCACCACCACAUGGAGCUCUAAAAUGGGUCGGGAAAUCCCGGAUGGUGUUGGGGAACUCUGACUCAAUGUAGGCUUCCCAACGUCGGGAUUGGCUGAUCCCCGACAUCCACCAACGUGGCCCAUCUCAGGUCAUGUCCAACACAACUGAUGCAGACUUGAACAGCCGUAUAUUAAGCACCUUCUCUCUUUCUGUUCCGAUUCUGCCCCCAAACUGAGCUGAACAGACCCAAGCCCAGAGAUGGAAGGGGAGCUGAAAAGGCUGGAGAACAGCAGAGACGCUCUCAAGGCUGGCUUCUACGAAUCCUUCGGUGGACUGCAUCCUCCUCAUGACUCUGAUGAGAGUAGCAAUGGACCGAGAGAGAACCUACAUUACGUGUUCAGGACUACAGAAAUCCCCCUCCCCUUGGCCUCGUGCAGAGGGGCGGGAGUUUGUCCCAGCCCCGCUCUGCACGAGGCCCAAGAAGCGGGCCGAUUGGCCCUUUGGGUUAGGGGAUGGGGUUUCGGCCGGGAUGAUCCCCGCCCCGUUCUCCUCAGUUUUGGCCAGGCAUUCCCCUCCCUCCCUCCCUGGUACAGAGCGGGUCUAGCGACUGGUCGCCCAACGGGGCCGAGUAGGAAUUUUUGGCUCCCAACGCAUUGGCCAGUGUUGGGUUUUUUUUUCGCCUACUCCGUUCUGUGUUCCAGGUGUGUAGUUAGAGUUAGGCCGGUCACAAUGGCAGUAACAGUGCGGGCGGGGUGGUAAUUUGAGGGUUUUCCGAGCCAGGGUGUGUCGCCCAGUAAGGUGCUGGGUAGGACGUCAGAGUUCUAACCCGGUCCUCUUAGCCCGCACUGUUCUCUAAGGGUGAUUAAUCACCUGGUGUUCCAGUCCACCAUGUCUUUUGUUACAGUUAAUAAAGUUGUGGCCCUUUUACCCAUA